rnacentral:rRNA from 1 species
AACGAACGCUGGCGGCGUGCCUAACACAUGCAAGUCGAACGAGAAAGGGGCUUCGGCUCCGAGUAAAGUGGCGCACGGGUGAGUAACACGUAGGUAACCUGCCUCUAAGAUUGGGAUAACCUGUCGAAAGACGAGCUAAUACCGAAUAAGACCACGGCUUCCUCGGAAGCAGGGGUCAAAGGUAGCCUCUACUUGUAAGCUAUCACUUAGAGAUGGGCCUGCGUACCAUUAGCUAGUUGGGGGGUAACGGCCUACCAAGGCAAGAUGGUUAGCUGGUCUGAGAGGAUGAUCAGCCACACUGGAACUGAGACACGGUCCAGACUCCUACGGAGGCAGCAGUGGGGAAUAUUGCGCAAUGGGCGAAAGCCUGACGCAGCAACGCCGCGUGAGUGAUGAAGGCCU